UUUGAUCCUCGGCUCAGGAUGAACGCUAGCGACAGGCUUAACACAUGCAAGUCGAGGGGCAGCACGGUGUAGCAAUACAUUGGUGGCGACCGGCGCACGGGUGAGUAACGCGUAUGCAACCUACCUAUCAGAGGGGAAUAACCCGGCGAAAGUCGGACUAAUACCGCAUAAAACAGGGGUUCCACAUGGAAAUAUUUGUUAAAGAAUUAUCGCUGAUAGAUGGGCAUGCGUUCCAUUAGAUAGUUGGUGAGGUAACGGCUCACCAAGUCCACGAUGGAUAGGGGUUCUGAGAGGAAGGUCCCCCANACUGGUACUGAGACACGGACCAGACUCCUACGGGAG
rnacentral:rRNA from 1 species